AAUUUUCCGCAAUGGGCGAAAGCCUGACGGAGCAACGCCGCGUGAGGGACGAAGGUCUUCGGAUCGUAAACCUUUGUCAAUGAGGACGAUAAUGACGGUACUCGAUGAGGAAGCCCCGGCUACCUACGUGCCAGCAGUCGCGGUAACACGUAGGGGGCGAGCGUUGUCCGGAAUUACUGGGCGUAAAGGGCGCGUAGGCGGCCUAAUAAGUCAAAUGUGAAACCCCUGGGCUUAACCCUGGGCUUGCAUUAGAAACUGUUGGGCUUGAGGGCAGGAGAGGAAAGCGGAAUUCCCAGUGUAGCGGUGAAAUGUGUAGAUAUUGGGAGGAACACCAGUGGCGAAGGCGGCUUUCUGGACUGAACCUGACGCUGAGGCGCGAAAGCCAGGGUAGCGAACG
rnacentral:rRNA from 1 species